rnacentral:misc_RNA from 1 species
GGGUUUCUUUUUUUUUUUUUUUCAUACUUUGGAAAAUAUUUAUCAUCUGGGUAUGUGUAAGCGCACUCCCCAUAAUAUGGGUAAUAAUUUGGCUAAAACUCUAUGGACACGGCUUUGAAAGGAUUAUUGUCUUAAUUUACUUUAUUGUUUUAUAGCUCAGAACUUGAACUGAUUUUAGUUAAUAUAAGGAGAUUGUCUGUUUAGACUGAUAUUUGACCUGUCUUCUUUGUUCUUUGACCCAAUAACAUGGGCUGGUAUUUUUUUUAGUGAAUAUUUUUCUUGUUUAUUACUUAUGGUUUGCUCCUUUCUAUACUCAGCAUGUCUGGAAGGGAUAUUAGGGAUGUUUGUCAACAAGCUGAAAGGUCGCGGGCAUCAA